rnacentral:tRNA from 2 species
AAGGCCUUAAGUUAAAAUAAACUAAUAACCUUCAAAGUUAUAAUUAAAAGACAGGCUUUUAGGCCUUA